CCCAAAUUAGGUUGAAAUAUGUGUUAUAAAAAUUAAGAGUAAUUUUGUGAAAUUUUUGGAGCUAUAGAAAUUAAGAAAUGGAAUUUAUACAAAAAUCCCUAAAAUGAAUUUAUUAAAAACCUAGAACUAGUUUUAAUUUGUGAUUCAAAUUCUAUUUGGAACAUGGCUUUACUUAUUAAAACAAAGUUGUAGGGAUUUUUAUGGGGAGCAAUUCUUCUUUUUGCUUCAACCCCUAAAAUGAUUUUUAAAAGCUUCAAAAGUCUCAUUUAAGCUUUUGGGAAAAUAAUUUCAAAAAAAAAAGAAAAAGGGGGC
rnacentral:lncRNA from 1 species